rnacentral:rRNA from 1 species
AUACGGAGGAUCCGAGCGUUAUCCGGAUUUAUUGGGUUUAAAGGGUGCGCAGGCGGCCAUUUAAGUCAGCGGUUAAAUCGUGGGGCUCAACCCCAUUCUGCCGUUGAUACUGGGUGGCUUGAUUGCGGUCGAGGUUGGCGGAAUUCGUUGUGUAGCGGUGAAAUGCAUAGAUAUGACGAAGAACACCGAUUGCGUAGGCAGCCGACCAGACCGCAAAUGACGCUCAUGCACGAAAGUGCGGGGAUCGAACAGGAUUAGAUACCCUGGUAGGCCGCACAGUAAACGAUGAAUACUUGUUUUCGGCGAUAUAAUGUCGGAGGCAAAGCGAAAGCGAUAAGUAUUCCACCUGGGGAGUAUGCCGGCAACGGUGAAACUCAAAGGAAUUGACGGGU